UUUAAUAGCUUUAGCAUUGAUCAAGUGUUUGGACAAUUAUAAAAACAUACGGAGUAUAAAUCAAUGUUACUGAAGUAGAAUUAAUGUUUAUCAAUGUUUGCCCAGUAGUUGGAGCUAACUCAAAGCGGAUGGAGACUUGGUCCCAUGUGAUAAAUACAAUGAAGUUUAGGUUGUCUAGUUGGAAGAACAAACAUCUUUCCAUUGGCGGUCGAAUAGUAAUCCUGAAAUCAGUCCUAUACGCGAUCUCGGUUUACUUCCUCUCCUUCUUCAAGGCUCCGGCAGUUUUUUGCAGGUAUUUGGAGCAGUAUAUGCAAGUGGCUGGGUGUUUCUUCAACUCUGCAUAACGAUGGUUGGCAGCACAUGAGUCAGUUUGAAUAUCUGUUGGGAGGGGAAAAAUCAACGUCUUUAAAGCUGCUCGUGUUGUGGUGCGCGUGUAUUUGGUAUAUAUGGAAGGCGAGGAAUCAUAAAAUCUUUCGCAAUGAAGACAUUGACAUCAUAAAGGUGAUUGAAGAAGCGAAGAUUCAUUCUUGGAAAUGGCUCAAGAUAAAAUCGAAUUGGAUCAAGGAAGACUUUGUAUUAUGGUGUUUAAAUCCUAAGGCCUGCCUUGGUCUAGCUAGUGGCAGCUUAAUCUCCCGUCGAGUUUGUCCUUAGCCCAGCUCAGCCCGGAGCAGUGGCUAUCCCCUUUUAAUACCUGGAGGAUUGCUGUUGUUCAUACAUUGUCGAGAGUUUUCUCUCAUUGAACCUCAAUAGAUUUAGUCUUGGUGGUGGUUUGGGAGCAGAAUAUCAUCUUUGGUGUUGGGAGGUCGGUUAGAGGCGAAGUGUCGGUUCUAUAUUGAGCAGUGUUUUCUGGUUGAGUUGCAAUGGUGUGGUCGAUUUCUGUGAACCGUUCUAUUAAGUUUCUGUUGGAUUGUUUUUGCUCAGGGCACUGCACAUUGUUAAUUGAGGUUGUGUGAGUCUAUUGUGGUGGUUUUGGUGUGUAGUAUAGUUGUACUGCUUUGUAACUUACUGCAUUUAUUGCAGAAUUCCUGUAUCAGACAUUUUGCACCUCUUGUUAGUUUUAUAUUAUUUUUGGCUGUUUAAAAAAAACAUCAUAUUCGAUGCUUCGAACAACUCUUUAGGUAGGAAUUUCUCAACUGUUCUCAAUGUACCAUAGUUGUUCAUUCGUUCUCAAUGUACCAUUAACAAUCAAUCAGUUUACCCACGUUAUAAAAGUUUAUGUAUUCUAGA